CCGGCUGGGCCGGCGGGGUAGCAAACAUAUUUUCUGAUGGGCAACCAAAUCUGAGAUUCAGGUUGUCUCUAGACUGUGCAGUCCUUUAAAUUCUGUCUUAUUUAGACUUAUAAUCUUGGGGGGAAGGAUUUUUUUAGAUGACCGAUGCAUUCAAAUUGUAUGAAUUGCAGUGAAGACAGGAGAGAAUCUAACUCUUUGCGUUUUUUGUUUGUUUGUUCUAACGAAAACAUCAGGAACAAAGUUCUUCAUACAGAUCAUGAGCCACAAGAGUUGAUAUUUUUAGGAGGAGAGUGACACUCAGAGACUGGCUCAAAGCGUCCUCCAACAAAGCUUCAGUUCUUUCAGCAGCAGUAAAAUGGAUUUAGAAGGCAACUAUGUUGAUGCUUUGGAUCCAGAGAGGUUAAUACAAUGUCCCUAUGAUAAAUAUCAUCAAAUCAGGGCCUGUCGGUUUCCCUAUCAUCUUAUAAAGUGCAGGAAGGAGUCUAGUUACAGGCUGCUGAGCUGAAUUCGCUUUGGGCUAAUGGUGCACCCACACUGAGGCUCCCCUACUACAAGCUGAAAUCAUGAAAGAGCUAAACUUACUCAGAGCUGAAAUCACUGAGUGUUGUGUUAAGUAGUGGGGGAGGCUGAAGAUAUAUGGUGGAGCAGUUGCGGGAUGGCGAGCGGAGCAGAGCGGCUCGGGGAGCAGAGCAGUUUGUUGGAUGCCUAGAGCAACUCAUGGGGUGGCUGGCAAAGCAGAGCCCCAUGGAGAGGUGGGGCCAUCAGCUUUGGACCAUGUAAGGUGCCCCUUAACCCCAGUCUCCACCCAGGUUGGGAGGUAAAACUCUGCAGAUAAACUUUUGAACUCUGGGGCUGCCCUGACCAGGGACAGAGACUUUUGGGUCGUUGGACUUUCGGGACUUUGGGUGAUUUUGAGUUGCUGAACUCAAGAACCAAAGGGAAAGGACAUGCCCCAAUUUGCUUGGGGUGGGUUUUUUGCUCAUGGGUUGUGUUAUGAAUCCUGUUGGUGGUGUUUCCCCAACAUAAUGCCACAUUGUUUCUCUCUGUUAUUAAAAGGCUUUUUGCUACACUCAGA